rnacentral:rRNA from 1 species
GACGAACGCUGGCGGCGUGCUUAAUACAUGCAAGUCAACGACUUUUAGAGUAGCAAUAUUCUAAAGGAAGUGGCGCACGGGUGAGUAACACGUAGGUAAUCUGCCUUCAGGACUGACACAACUCGUCGAAAGACGGGCUAAUAUCAGAUAAUGCAGCGGCUCCGCAUGGAGACAGUUGUUAAAGUACAAGCGCCUGAAGAUGAGCCUGCGGUCCAUUAGCUAGUUGGUAGAGUAAAGCCUACCAAGGCAACGAUGGAUAGCUGGUCUGAGAGGAUGAUCAGCCACACUGGAACUGAGACACGGUCCAGACUCCUACGGGAGGCAGCAGUAAGGAAUAUUGCUCAAUGCCGAAAGGCUGAAGCAGCAACGCCGCGUGAAGGAUGAAUGGCCUUUGGCCUGUAAACUUCU